UACGUAGGUGGCAAGCGUUGUCCGGAUUUAUUGGGUUUAAAGGGUGCGUAGGCGGCUUGAUAAGUCAGUGGAUGAAGCCGAUCGCUUAACGAUCGAACUGCCAUUGAUACUGCCAGGCUUGAGUAUAGUUGAGGUAGGCGGAAUUGACAGUGUAGCGGUGAAAUGCAUAGAUAUUGUCAAGAACACCAAUUGCGAAGGCAGCUUACUAAAGUAUAACUGACGCUGAGGCACGAAAGUGCGGGG
rnacentral:rRNA from 1 species